rnacentral:rRNA from 1 species
UACGUAGGGGGCUAGCGUUGUCCGGAAUCAUUGGGCGUAAAGAGCGUGUAGGCGGCUCGGUAAGUCCGCUGUGAAAGUCCAGGGCUCAACCCUGGAAUGCCAGUGGAAACUGUCGAGCUAGAGUCCGGAAGAGGCGAGUGGAAUUCCUGGUGUAGCGGUGAAAUGCGCAGAUAUCAGGAGGAACACCAAUGGCGAAGGCAGCUCGCUGGGACGGUACUGACGCUGAGGCGCGAAAGCGUGGGUAGCAAACAGG